UACGGGGGGGGGCAAGCGUUGUUCGGAAUUACUGGGCGUAAAGGGCGCGUAGGCGGCCUGCUAAGUCGGAUGUGAAAUCCCUCGGCUCAACCGAGGAACUGCAUCCGAUACUGGCGGGCUUGAAUCCGGGAGAGGGAUGUGGAAUUCCAGGUGUAGCGGUGAAAUGCGUAGAUAUCUGGAGGAAUACCGGUGGCGAAGGCGGCAUCCUGGACCGGUAUUGACGCUGAGGUGCGAAAGCGUGGGGAGCAAACAGG
rnacentral:rRNA from 1 species